CGUGUUUCAUAUAUUCAUAUAUCAUAUAUAUAACAUAUUAUAUUCCGUAUCAAUGUACCGUACCUUGACGUUGGCAAAAUCAUCGUUUUGGCGAACGAUGGAGCCAUGAAAUUAAAAAAAAAGUCAUUGUCGCAUUUCUUGGUUCGGUAGUUCUUAAAAUCACAAGCGAUACAAAAUACGAAAUUAGUGUCUUCUAAUUUCGUAUUUUUAACAAAAUUCAGCAAAUAAUUAGAGCCGUUCCAUACAAGCGAUUUUAUGUACUAUUUGGUUCAGUUGUGUUGUCAUGGUUAUGUUUUAUGCAGGUCGUGAAUAUUGAAUUUAUCAUGAAGCCGAUUUAUAACAAAUGCAAUCUGGGCCAGUACAUUGGAGAAUGCAUCAAAUACAUGGAAAACAAAAUACUACACAGAACUUAUUGCACAAUGCUAGAACUGAACAGUAUAAUUCCUGCACAACCAGUGACCAAUUUUUAUGAUGAGAAUUUUCCUAUUGUGUGAUAGAUAUGACAAGAAAUAUUAUGAAUUGCAUUUGUUGACCAGAAUGUAUUACUUUCUAUACUACUCAUAGGAAACUAAAAGAAAAUCUACAAAAGAUGUGAAAUAUCUCCCAAUACAAUCUUAUGAGAAUAAGAAGAAUAACGAAUUGAAGAAAAUUUGCAGUUUUGCACUUCCUGAAUUAACUGAGAAACAAUAUUGCUAGUUUUAUUUGUAUAUAUCUAUUUCAUGGUGGCUUUAAUAAUGACUAGCACUGAGAAAUGAAGAGCAAUUGAGAAACUAUUUGCCCCAUAUUCAAAUGAAAAGUUGUUCUGAAUGGUGUUCUAACUGGUAUCUCUGGUAUCUUUCUUGGCCUGAAUCAGCUGAGAUAUUCUUUAUAGAACUGUUUUCUUACUCGUAACAAUAAGUAAAAUAAUCCCUAUUACACGUGCGAAAUAUUCCAAUAGUGCAUUUGCAUCUGACAAAUUGGCAAUGAAUACAGUUCAAAUAUUUGCCUGCACUGGUAAAUUUCUAGCACAAGCACAUAUUUGUACUUUCAUUGAUUGUUAUUUAUCUGCUGUUCUCAGUGUGUUGUGACCAUUUCUUUAUCUGUCCAUUGGACCUGCAAUACAAGCUUAGUCUGGGACAUUGAGUGUUGUGUAUAUACUCUAGUCAUUUCUCUCAUUUUGAUGCAUGUCAUCAAGUUUGUAAUAUAAAGAAUAAUGAUAAUAUAAAUUAUCGCAAAUAAUAUGUGAUAAUUUAUAUUAUUAUAAUACUGUCCUGGUAUUUUCAGAGUAAUUUUAGGGACAAGUUAGUGACAAAAUAUUGCGUCUAUAUCCUCCUAAGACCCUGCAUACUACUUAAAGAACAAAAUGACUACCAGAUUUGAGUCCUGCCUAUACAAAGCAAUAUAUCGUCUAUGCGCUUGCCAAAUCUGAUAUGUGCAUUAGAAAAACUUUUCAGGACAACAUAAAAACUUUUUUAUUUGUAAAAUAUUAUCUUCUGAAAUAAUAAAUAUAUGUCCAAAUAUAGCAGAACUAUAUUUUUGUCUAAUACAGUAAACAUGUUAUUACACUCGUAUAUGAAUGCAAAAAUAUUUCAAGUUUUGUUUGCUGCCUCAAAUGAUGAUAUGUGCCCAAAAGCACAUGUAAGAUUGUGUAAGGUUAUCUGUGAGAUUGGUGUUAGAAAAUUAUGCAUACUAUGUGCUUAAGUAAGCCCAUACCAAAUUCAGAUGACAGAGUCUGUGAUGCCAUAAUUCCUGUGAUGGCUCAGCUCCACACAGAUUUGCAAUUUCAAUAGCGUCUGACUGCUGUCCAUCAGUAGACGAGUGAAUCUCCGCUAAUGGUUGCCUUGAAACCAUAAUCUGAUACGCUCCAAUCAACUCGCUUCCAUCUGCUUCUGUGUCCAGUUGGUAGACUCCAUUCAUCUUCAUAGCACUUGCAACAACAACCUUUCCAUAGUAUAUUUUACAUUCAUGUGUCUCAAAGUGCACCUCUAAUCCUUUUUCUGUAAUUUUGUUGACAAUUCCGGUACGAAAAUAACCUCAAUUAAUUUGGUACUUUGUUUACAUCCUUUCGUGUAUAGUUCUACUUCACCAUGUCCUUCACUGUAUAUUUUAUGGUUAUUAGCCACUGUCACCAACCGCGGAGAGUGCUCAACAUAGUUUUUCAGAAUAUUUUUGUUGUUUGUCAUCAGUGUUGCCACCGAAGUAUCAAGCUCUAGAAGCGACCUCUAAAACCACCAGAAAUCCACUAACAAAACUCGCGCCAGUUUAAAAAAAAUCGCAAAUUUUUCCACCAACUUUAGGUAUUUUUAACAAAUUUUUGUCUCGAAAGAAAAUAAUAUUUAAAAGAUACGUUUAUUGGAGAAAUAACAUUAAAAUUACACAUUAUGUAACAAAAAUAAUGAAAUUAUAUUAUUCAGUCAUCAAGUCAUCUUCAGAUGAGUCGUUUCCGUCCGUACCAUUAUCGUCAGUCUCCGAUUGGUACGACUCUUUGGUGCUAAUUAAUAUCACAAUAUUGUUUGGGAUUUCAUAGUCGUUGCAGCAUUUUCCCGCUAUCUUAUCAGCGUACUCUUAAAAUAGCACUUAAAAGAUUAAGCCCCAUCCUGUUUCUCUGCUCGUUUUUUAUUAUAUUCAUACUGCUAAACAGUCUUUCCACAUCGGCGUUGGAAUGCGGCAAUAUUAAAAGAGUGAUCGCAAAAGUCGCCAAUUCGUAAAAUCUUGAAAGCCCUUGUGCAUCUUUGAAAUGCAGGACUUCAUACCAAAAUAUUUUUGUAUUUUUGGUUUCCUGCCAUUCCAAUAAAUGGAUUUGUCGCCAUUGAUCGUCCACUUUCGCAAUGAAUUCAGAACUUUUAUUUAAUUGAGCCAUAAUGUCAACUAGAUCUUCUUUGUUAUGACUAAAGUGCUUUUUCGACACUUAUUUGCGAAUUUUUUUUCAUUAAUUCGACAUUUUCUGGAAGCCUAUUUUUUAUUUCGUCAAUUAAACUCACUAUAAAUUGCAUGCACCGAGUCCGCACUAUUUCUUCUUCUUCCCUUGGUAAUCCCUUUUCUCGCAUUUCGAGUA